CCGAUGGUCUUUUUUUGUUGGUUUUGACGAGACCAUGGUAAUGAUGAAUAGGAACAGUUGGGGGCAUUCGUAUUUCCCAGCUAGAGGUGAAAUUCUUGGAUUUGGGAAAGACGAACUAAGGCGAAAGCAUCUGCCAAGGAUGUUUUCAUUGAUCAAGAACGAAAGUUAGGGGAUCGAAGACGAUUAGAUACCGUCGUAGUCUUAACCAUAAACGAUGCCGACUAGGGAUCGGGUGAUGUUACUUUCAUGAUGACUCACUCGGCACCUUCAGAGAAAUCAAAGUUUUUGGGUUCCGGGGGGAGUAUAGUCGCAAGGCCGAAACUUAAAGGAAUUGACGGAAGGGCACCACCAGGAGUGGAGCCUGCGGCUUAAUUUGACUCAACACGGGGAAACUCACCAGGUCCAGA
rnacentral:rRNA from 1 species